rnacentral:rRNA from 1 species
AAUAAGCUAUUUAAGAGCGUAUGGGGGAUGCCUAGGCUCUCAGAGGCGAAGAAGGACGUGAUAAGCUGCGAUAAGCUGCGGGGAUUGGCACACACAAUUUGAUCCGCAGAUCUCCGAAUGGGGAAACCCACUAUAUUGAAGAUAUAGUAUCCGUUAAGGAGGUAAACCCAGGGAACUGAAACAUCUAAGUACCUGGAGGAAAAGAAAACAAAAGUGAUUCCGUUAGUAGUGGCGAGCGAACGCGGAUUAGCCCAAACCAAAGUUGUUUCGGCAAUUUUGGGGUUGUAGGACCACGACAUUGAAUGUUUAAUGAAUUAGAAUUCUUUGGAAAA